rnacentral:lncRNA from 12 species
CCCCCCCCCCCCCCCCCCCCCCCCCCCCCCCCCCCCCCCCCCCCCCCCCCCCCCCCCCCCCCCCCCCCCCGGGCACACGGCUCGUGUCACCAUGGCGCCGCGUCACUGAGUGACAGUGUCACCGUGUCACCGUGUGACCGUGCCACCGUGUCACUGUGCCGAAGUGACCGUGUGACUGUGUCACCGUGUCACCGUGCCGGGGUGACUGUGUCACCGUGUCACCGUGCCGGGGUGACCGUGUCACCAUGUCACCGUGUCACCGUGUCACCGUGCCGUGUCACCGUGCCGCCGCGCUAACCGGACAGCAGUAGAGCUGAAUGUAACCCGGCCGGGCUCACCCGCCGCCACAAUAAACUGUAGUGAGGCUCCUUUUCCUACGAGC